rnacentral:lncRNA from 1 species
GGAAAGGGUGGAGCACAACGUCGAAAGCAGCCGUUGGGAGCCCAGGAGGCGGGGCGCCUGUGGGAGCCGUGGAGGGAACUUUCCCAGUCCCCGAGGCGGAUCCGGUGUUGCAUCCUUGGAGCGAGCUGAGAGCUCGAGUACAGAACCUGCUAAGGCCAUCAAACCUAUUGAUCGGAAGUCAGUCCAUCAGAUUUGCUCUGGGCCGGUGGUACCGAGUCUAAGCACUGCGGUGAAGGAGUUAGUAGAAAACAGUCUGGAUGCUGGUGCCACUAAUAUUGAUCUAAAGCUUAAGGACUAUGGAGUGGAUCUCAUUGAAGUUUCAGGCAAUGGAUGUGGGGUAGAAGAAGAAAACUUCGAAGGCUUAACUCUGAAACAUCACACAUCUAAGAUUCAAGAGUUUGCCGACCUACCUCAGAAACGUGCCUGCUUCCCCUUCGCCUUCUGCCGUGAUUGUCAGUUUCCUGAGGCCUCCCCAGCCAUGCUUCCUGUACAGCCUGCAGAACUGACUCCUAGAAGUACCCCACCCCACCCCUGCUCCUUGGAGGACAACGUGAUCACUGUAUUCAGCUCUGUCAAGAAUGGUCCAGGUUCUUCUAGAUGAUCUGCACAAAUGGCUCCUCUCCUCCUUCCUGAUGUCUGCCAUUAGCACUGGAAUAAAGUUCCUGCUGAAAAUCCACA